rnacentral:sRNA from 1 species
GAUGAAAAUUAAGCAAAAUAUAAGAAAAAUAUGAGCAAAACAUAAGUUAAAUAUGAUAAAAUUAUUUGUAAAGUGUUAUGUAUGUCCAUGUUAUUGAGAUAAUUCAAAUUAUCAUUGAAAGCAUUGAUGACCAGAUAAUCUUGUUUGGUUUAUACUAUUUAAUAUUAUUAUUUUAAAAAUGUAAUAUCAUUAAGUUCAAGAAUGUUGUAUGACUUGUAUCUUUAAUCUUCGGAACCUCAUGACCACAUUAUGUUCUUGAUGCUCUCAAUGGUCUACUUUCAACUUCUUGAGAAGUGCAAUAUUCAGCCAAUUUCGCAAUCUUCUUAAUGCUUUUAAUGGUUUCUUCGUCUGUUGCUAUGGUGCCAUCAACCAAGUUCAAGAAUGUUGAAUCUUUAAUCUUCGGACAUAACCACAUGACCAGAUUUUGUUCCUCAACACUCAAAGUCUCAUCAUUCACUUUCUUCAUGUGAUCAACUCCAUUAGAAUCACCCCGAAAGCAUAUACAUCUGCUUUUUUUGACACUCUUAAAACCUACAAAUAUAUUUUGAAAAUAUAUAUUUUUAAUUUUAUUUUAAAAAUGAUUAAAUUAACACAAAUACUUAUACAUAUAAUAAGCUAAAGAUUAAGUUCUAACUUACCAACAUAAUAUGGAUCAAUAUAUAGUUGAAGGUUCCCACCAUUGUUAAUGUCUCAACUGAGUCGACUCCCUCGAGUACGAGCUUUAUACAACCAAAAUCAGAAAUCUUCGCUCUCAUGCCAUAUCCUAUAUAAGUACGUUGGAAGGCUUCAAAUCUCUAUGGAUAUAGUUUUCUUGCAAGACCAUGAAGAUAUUGAAUCUCGAUGUGAAAUAUGUUUGGCUAGAUAUUAGGGAUUCCACUUCUCCUCGAUCGGACUCUCCGGAGACAAGUUGCUCAAGCUGUUAUCUAAUCGAUACCACAACAAUACUAUAACAUAAACUCAAGCCUUACUCCAGGCCCUGGAUAGACAGAUCUGUGAUGCAGUUCUCGCUAAGAAGAAACCUAAGAUCGAGGUUCAAAAACUUUAUGAAGAUUUGGCUCAAUUAGCAUGUCGGAGAAAACCCAUCUUGUGUUUUCUUUCAUGAACCUAUAGAAAAUCUAGAACAUUUGUACUAACCUCAGAGGCGGUUUGGUCAGGACUGAGUAGUAAGCUUCUUUAUGAAGAUCUUGGAACCAAAUGGCUGAAACUAUAUGAAGAUCUGGGAAAAGGAGAGGAAGUUCCUCUACUGAAAGUGGUUGUGAUAGGGAAUACCACCGAAAUCAAGAAGAAGCGUAAGAUCUUUUAGUCUAAUUCUUUUGGGCAAGUAUAACGAUCUUUUAGUCUAAUCUUUUGUAAUUGACUCUCACCAACAGAGAAAAGCUCAACAAAUUUACUUUGAGGCAGGUCUAGCAUAUGCAGACGUACCAAUCGUUUUUCUAAAAAUAGGUUAGUUUCUUUCCCUGUUUGGCAUGUUCAAAAGAAAUAUAUUAUAUAUUAUUCGAACUAUAAACGGAAAUAACGGUCAAGUAGCAUUGAGUAAAGUGGGGUACAGUCUUCUGAAUUGUGAUGGUAUAUUAUUCUCUGGCAAAGCAUUUCAAAAAUGAAGUAUACGAAAAUUUAUUUAUCCUUUAGUUAGAGAUCAAUUAUUUUACUGUGUUUUGUGUCUGAAAAUGGUCUACUUUAUUUUCUUGUGCUUAAAUUUUACUUCAGGUCUGCUAUUUUUUUUACCCGGUUCUAUCCAUAUCCGAUCCAAAUUAUUACAUCUUUUUGGGUAACUAU